AACUUCUGGCAUGCAUUAAUUUUGUGAACUAGUCGUGAACAUUGUGCAACCUAUUUGAAAAUGCUGUGAGUCUCUGCGAGUCAAUGCGUCAGCACAGCCCCCCACA